CACAGGCGUGUGGUCUACCCGUGUAAGGAAGUCCGGGCCGUGUCAAUUUCUCACAUUGACCCAUUUUCUUCGUUUUUGGCCUGAUUCUCGCUCUUUUUACUCUCUUAUGCUCACCUAAGUAUAAAACAUGAAAUUAAAGGAUUAGGAGCAUCAAAUUCCAAAAAUCCAAUGAUAAUUCAUCCAAAAAUAUGCUAAGCAUGGGAUAAAAAUAUGUAUAAAUUACGGUUUAUCAAUGGUAGUUUUAAAUCUACCAUUGAAGAGGAAUCUUUUAAUGACCCGGUUUUUCUCAACACGGAUGGGGUAGUGCAAAUAGCAUCUGGAAAUGCAGCGCUGGUGGAGUUGUUCGUAAUGCUAAUGGAGAUUGGAUUUUUGGGUAUAAUCGUCACCUUGGAAAAUAUUCUAUCUUUAAUCCUGAACUAUGGGGCAUUCUGGAGGUUCUCAGGUUAAUUUAACGAAGGGGUUACGAUGAAGUCAUCAUUCAAUCUGAUAGUUUAGAAGUUGUCAAUGCUUUAAUUGACAAUACCUCUACUGAGGCGAAUUCAACAUUAAUCAGGCGUAUCCAAAGUAUUUUAUUUCAAGAGAGAUGGUGGUGCUUGAGGUACAUUCCGAGAGAUCAAAAUCAAGUUGCAGAUUGUCUAGCAAAACAAGUAUUGUUUGGAUCUGCUAAUUUGCAAGUGUUCGAUUAUCCUCAUCCGAUGACGCACACGUUAUUGGAUUUGGACAAGAAUAAGAAUGUUUUUUUCUAUUCAGAGUACUAUUUUGUAAUUAGCGUUGGUUUUUUCAUCAUAAAAAAAAUAUUGUUCUUGUAUUGUACUUUAUUUUAUUGUGGUAUACAUAUUUUUAAUAUUUGUGGUUAAUUUAAACCAUAAUCAAGUAUAUUCAUUACACACAAAAAUAUACAUAUGAUUAAAGAAAAGGGGAUAUUAUUAAUUUUGCUUGUGGUAACACUAACAACAAGUGCAUGGUUUCAAAUUGCAAAUAUAUAUACAAUGAAUUGGUUGUAAAUUUCUGAUUUGUGAGUGUAUUGGCCAUCUCCCAAUGUCCCACCAUCUCCAAAAUGGCUUAUCCUUUUUAUCAAUAAUUUUCAAUGGGGAUCACCACCAACUAAAAAAGCAUACAUAAAAAAAAAAGAAAAAAAAAAGAAAGAAAAAGGAGGAGGAGGAGGAGGAGGAAGAGGAGAAGAAGAAGAAUAUUUGAAUGGGUUUAGAAUGAUGGAUAUGUAGAUUAUUGAAGUUCUAUUUAUGAUACAUGAUCAAUUGUUAAAGGAGGACGCAGAUUUUUUUUUUUUUAGAAAAAUUUCAAAAUUAUUCGUCAGAAGUUGAUGGACUUCUUAAUGAGUUAAUAUUGUUAUCGAUUGAAGUUUCAUACUCAACUUUUUUAAAGAGUUCGAGUGCUUGAGGUAAUGAUGAGUUCAACAAAACGAGAUCGGACUAUGUGUGAAGGACAUGAGCAUAUGCCUUCAGUAGAGAUUAAACUCAGGCCCUUAAAUAGCAUUAAUGGGAAAGUGUACUGCCACUUGAUGUCACUAAACAUUUGAGAGUAACGGUUUAAACCCUAACAAAUAGAAAUAAAUAUUCUCCACGUCAGAAUUAAAUGAAUUUACGGUUAUAAUAAUAUGUUUGAAAUUGAGAUGUAUCAUAAUAAUAACUCAAAUAAGAACGGAGGAAGUAACAUUUUCGAAUAAGCUAAACGUAGGUGAUCUUAUGAAAAGCCAAUUUUAUUCCAUUAAAAUUAAAACUGUACUUACCAAAAACAAUUAAGGCCGAGAAAUUGGAAAUGAUUUGUUUUAGCAUAUAUUCAAACAAAAUUUUCUACGCCACCACUAAAUGAAUUUGCGGGUCCUCCUAUUACCGGUGGUAAAGGAGAGGAGAAACAAAAUUCAUGAUAAUUAAUGAUGAUGAGGAUCAGGUCCCCCUGGACUUCGCCGUUUCGUCUCGUAUGGAAUUCCUCCAUUUCUUUCUAUGCUUGCUUUAAUGGCUUCCCUGCCUUCUUCUAUUAAUGCACGCUUGGACUCAAUAAUGGCUGCUUCAGGGUGUUGUUUAUCUGCAACUGCCAAUGCUAACUGGUCUAUGCCCGAAAAUUGCUUGGAUUCGAAGUGUCUAUAAGUUAUCUCUUCAUCAUGUGUAUUAGCAUUAUACUGUGAUUUUGAUUCCAUUUUCAAUACCGGAUCAGCGAUCGAAAAUGGAUGAAACAACCGAGUUCCAGAACUCGAAACCAAGAACAAAACAUGCAGAGAAAGGCAGAACAAAACUUUGAAGCUAGCCAUUGAGAGUUAUCAAAUUCAGGGUUGAUAGUUGCAUAGCUUGGUGGUGCAUGGAUAGGGUAUAUAGAGGCUUCAUUACCAUCUUUUCCACGAUAUUUUAUGCUUGGUCAAAUGCACACCAUUUUAUUGGAAAGAUAAUCUUUUUUUUCCUUUUUACUUUUUUGGGGUCUGGAGAUGAAAUUUUAAGUGCUGGCAUUGACUUAUUCUUAAACCAACACUUGUAGGGGGUUUCAUUUAAGUCCAAGAAAGUUCAAGUCCAACAAACUUAGUUAUUUCAGCUUUAGCAUAUUACCGACUUUCAAGAUAAAAUUAAUGCCCCACUAAUCCAAGAUUAACUUUUUUUUAGCAUAAAGGUUAAGUAAAGAAUAUCCAUUUAGGAUUUAAUCUCUAAGCUCUAGCGUUUUGACGAAAAGGAAAAAGGCUGUGUUCCAUGUCAGGGGUGUUGACAUUUUGCAGAAGAGCUAGAAAAAAAAGACUGCUAACUCUAGGCCAUAUUUUAACAUUAUUAAUUUGAUGAAAAAUGGCAGAAGGAAGAUUAAGAUUACCUAAAUUGUUUCCUUCAAAUUUAACUGUUUUUAAGGAAGCCAAGGCCCCUACUUGCCCUUGGUGCGCUUAGAUUCUCAAAUUUCUAUAUUAUUUUUGAAUUAUCCUUUAAAUCACAACAUCAUAUCCAACCUUGAGAUUUUUGAAGUAGUUUUCAUGUGCUUUCCAAAAACAAUACAUUAGAAAUUAAGGGAGGGGUUGUCGGAACAUUUUUAAAUGUUUAUAGUGUUCCAAUAACUAUAAAUGAAUGAGUGUAAUUAAUUAAAAGUUAAAUUUUUUUUGUUAUUGGUCAAAAGUUAUAUCAUUUUAUUUAAAAAAAAAAGAAUUAUAACUAUUCAAACAAUAUUAUUUUGAAUAGUUAUGAUAUUAAAUGAAUAAUUAUGUGUGUUUUUUUAAAGAUAUUAUUAUUCAGAAAAGAUACUUAAUGAAGAGGUAUGAAAAUUCCUAUAAAUAUGAAUGAGAUUUCAUUUGGAAAUCACACCAACAAAUUUUGAAAUUCUUUCUUUCCUUCGUUCAUUUUCUAAUAUUAUUAUAUUAUUCUAUAAUGUAUUACUACAAAAAUCCUUUGUAGAAAUUGAGUUUAUUGUUAUACAUUGCUCAGUGCUUAGUGGACUUUUCUUGUCAGUGCAAAACGCAAAUAGUCAUUGGCUUUAUUGUAUCCUCGAGGUUAAUUUGCUUGAAACUCUUUUGCACAUAUAGGUGGGGGUGAAUAUAACCUUAAAAAUAGUGGUCUGAUACACGCCUUGAAGCCUUGUCAUAUUUCUAAUCCUUGUCAUAUUUCUUCUUUUUCUAUUUAAGUUUUGUUUGUGUGUUCGAGAUUUUUCCUCAUUGGAGUUUUGUACUAACAAUUUUAAGUUUAUUUUAUGAUGACUACCAUAACAUAUGAAAAUGAAACACUAAGAGAGUUGGUUUUCAACUUUGUCAAACUUGAUCGGUUUGAUGGUGGCAAUUUUUGCAGAAAAAGAUGCACUUUUUAUUAACAAGUUUGAAGGUUGCCUAUGUUUUGGAUACUCCAAGACCGAAAGAGAAUGAAAACAAAUUUGUUGUUGCAACUCGAGAAAGGAAAAAAUGGGACAAUGUUGAUUUCAUGUGCAUAGGCCACAUAUUGAAUGGUUUAUUCGAUGGUUUGUUCAACACCUACCAAAACAAGGUCAUUGCUAAGGAUUUACGCGACAAAUUGGAGACAAGAUACAUGACCGAAGAUGCUACAAGUAAGAAAUUUAUUGUCAGUCGUUUCAAUAAUUAUCAUAUGGUUGAUGGUCAUUCUAUUAUGGAACAAUUUCGUGAUAUUAGAAAAAAGUUGAAUCAAUUUAAGCAAUAUAAUAUGAAAAUGGAUGAAAUGAUUGUUGUAUCCUUUAUAAUAAACAAACUUCCUCCAUCUUAAAAAGACUUUAAAAGAAGUCUAAAACAUAAGAAAUAGGAAAUAUCUCUUGAGACUUUGGCAAACCAUCUUCAUCUUGAAGAAUAAUAUCGACAGCAAGAUCAGAACUUAGAUUUUGGAAAUGCCAACGUGCUUGUUAUGGAGGAAGUAAAAACUACUAAAUCAUCCAAGAGAAAGUUCAAAUAGAUUGAUAGAGCACCUCAGUUAAAAAGAAACAAAAGGGUUCAUGCUAUCAUUGAGGUAAGCCGGGACAUUUCAAGAAUGAAUGUCCAUUUUUAAAGAAGAAAUCAUCUUCUAAGGCUGAUAAUAACAAAAAGCUCGUUCCAAUGAUAUCUGAAAUUAAUAGGGCACAAGAUGAUAAUGCAUGAUGGAUUGAUACCGAAGCAACCAAACAUGUAUGCAAAGACGAAAGCUUGUUCACAAAGUUCACACAAUGUGAAAAUGACAAUGUCUUAACAUGUAUGCAAAGACGAAAGCUUGUUCACAAAGUUCACACAAUGUGAAAAUGACAAUGUCUUGUACAUGGGAAAUUCUUCCACCACAGCAAUUAAAGCAAAAGGUCUGUCGAACUAAAAUUCACUUUUGGAAAGGUUUUAACCUUGAAUGAUGUAUAUUAUGUACCAGAAGUUAGGAAGAACUUGGUUUCAAACUUGUUUUUGAGGCAGAUAAGUUUAUUUUGUCCAAAGAAGGAAUUUUUGUAGGGAAAAAGUAUAUGUAUGAGAGCAUGUUCAAACUCAAUAUUAUUAAUAAGAAUAAAAAUACUAUUUUUACUUAUAUGGUUGAAUCUUCUUGUUUAUGACAUUAUAGAUUAGGUCAUUUGAAUUAUAGAAAAUCGAAUGACAUACAUAAGUUAGAUUUAAUUCUUGUUUUUAAUAAUAAUAUUGAAAAAUGUAAUACAUGUAUGUUGACUAAAAUUACAAGAAACCAUUUCCCUAAGGUUAAAAGGAAAAUAAAGUUGCUUGGUUUGAUACAUAGUGAUUUAUGUGACAUGCAUAAUACUCCUACAUUAGGUGGAAAAAAAUAUUUUGUUACUUUUAUUGAUGAUUAUUCUAGAUAUUAUUAUGUAUAUUUAUUGCAUUUAAAAGAUGAAACGCUUGAUAAAUUUUAAAGUUUAUAAAUCUGAAGUUGAAUUUCAGUGUGAAUCAUUUAUCAAGUGCUUAAGAUAAGAUAGAGGUGGAGAAUACUAUAAUCCAAGUUAUUUUGAAUCUACUAGAAUUUUCCAUCAAGAUUUAGUCCUUUAUACACCACAACAAAACAGUGUAGCUGAAAGGAAAAAUAGUCUUAACUGAAAUGGUAAAUUCAAUGCUAUCAUAUUCAGGUCUUGGACAAGGUUUUUGGAGAGAAGCUAUUCUAACAACUUGUUAUAUUUUGAAUAGAGUUCCUAAUCAGGAAACAAAAAUAACCCCUUAUGAACAAUGGAAAAAAAAUAACCAAACCUUAAUUAUUUGAAGGUUUGAGACUAUAGAAUAUUGUUAAAGUUCCAACACCUAAAUGUAAAAAGUUAGGUGAAAGAAAAUUGAAUGCAUAUUUAUAAGAUAUGCACAUAAUAGCAAGGCAUAUAGGUUCAUGAUAAUUGAACCAAAUAAUUCAAUUUUAAUUAAUAUUGUUAUUGAAUCAAGAGAUGUUAUUUUUUAUGAAAAUAGAUUUAAUUCUAUUUUAAGACAAUUACAGCCACAACAAUUGAUUCAUUUUUCAAAUAAGAAUGAGAUUCCAUUGGAACAAAUUGAUAAUAAUGAUGAAUCUUGUCAAGAAUUAAGAAGAAGUAAAAGAAUUAAAAAGGUCGAAUAUUUUAGACCAGGUUUCAUUACGUUUCUUGUAGAAGGAAAAUGGGAAAGUAUAUGCAAUAAGAUACCUUAUUAUUAUAAUACGAAAUUUGAUCCUAUUACAUUUGAAGAGGUAAUGAAAUCUCAAGAUUUUGCUUUUUGGAAGAAAAAAAAGAAAUAAAUGAUGAGAUGGAUUCAAUAAUGGGAAAUCAAACUUGGAUCUUAGUUGAUCUUCCACUUGGUUCCAAACCAAUAGAUUGUAAAUGAAUCUUUAAAAUGAAAAUGAACAUCGAUGGAACCAUUGAUAAAUUUAAAGCAAGGUUGGUAGCCAAAGGUUUUAUACAAAAAUAAGGUAUUGAUUACUUUGAUACCUAAUACUCUAGUAGCAAGAAUUCCUACAACUAGACUCUUAAUAUCACUUACCUUAAUAUAUACUUUGGUUGUUCACCAAAUGGAUGUUAAAACUGCAUUUUUAAAUGAUAAAUUGGAAGUGGAAGUGUACAUGGAACAACCGAAAGGAUUAGUUGUUCCAAGAUAGGAGCAUAAGGUUUGUAAGCUUGUUAAAUCUCUAUAUGGACUUAAACAAGCACCAAAGCAAUGACACCAAAAGUUUGACAAGAUUGUUUUAGCUAAUGGCUAUAAAAUAAAUGAAUCUGAUAAGUGCAUAUAUAACAAAUUUGAAAAUGGAAAAGGUGUUAUAAUUAACUUAUAUGUAGAUGACAUGCUCAUUUUUGGCACAUAUUUGGAACAAAUAGAAAACACAAAGAAAUUAUUGUCAAACAACUUUGCUAUGAAGGAUAUGGGUGUAGUAGAUGUUAUUCUUGGGCUUAAAAUAACCCGAGAGGAAAGCACUAUAACUUUAUCAAAAUCACAUUACAUUGAAAAGGUGCUUAAAAAGUUUGAUCUUUUCAAUUGUAUACCAACAUCUACACCCAUGGGUCCUCAAAUAAAAUUAGUAUCUAAUAUUGGUAGGAAAAUUCAUCAAUUGAAAUAUGCAAGUCUAAUUGGUUGUCUUAUGUACAUAAUGACUUGUACAAGACCAGAUAUUGUAUAUGCUAUUGGAAAAUUGAGUAUGUAUACAAGUAAUCCCAUUAAUUUGCAUUGGCAAGCUUUGAAUAGAGUAUUUAUGUACUUAAAGAAAACUAUUAACUAUAGAUUUUGUUAUAAUGGAUAUCCUUAAGUUUUAGAAGGGUAGGAUAUUAGUUGGAUUACAAGUUUGGAAGACCAUGCAUCUACUAGUGGAUGGAUCUUCAUUCUUGGUAGAUGAGUCAUUUCUUGAGGCUCCAAGAAACAAACAUGUAUUACUAAUUCCACCAUGGUAGAAACAUUUAUUGCAUUAGCUGCUACAUCUAAAGAAGCAGAAUGGUUAACAAAUUUACUUUAUGAUGUACUUCUAUGGCCUAAGCCAAUUUCACCUAUUUCUACCCGUUGUGAUAGUGAGACUACUUUAGCAAAGGCAUAUAGCCAAGUAUAUAAUGGAAAGUCUAGACACAUUGGAUUAAGACAUAACUAUGUCCGACAAUUAAUCUCUAGUGAAGUGAUCACUAUUAAUUAUGUGAGGUCCAGUGAAAAUUUGGCAGAUCCUUUAACUAGAAGUCUUGCUAGAGAUAUAGUCAACAAAACCUCAAAAGCAAUAGGACUCAAGCCCAUUAAUUAGAGUCACCCGUGAUGGAAACUCGACUCAACACUUUGUAUAACAUCAUGUCUUGAGUUCAAUGAGACAAAGUAUAUCAUUAGUAUGUGACUAUUAACACUAUAAAUAAAUCUAUCUAAGAUUAAAAGUGCUAGGUACUUGUAAUGAUAAUGGAAGGAUGAGUAAUGUACUCUUAAUGGACCCAUAACACAAAUAUGUUAGCGUGUUAUAAUUAUGAGAACACUCUUGAUGGGAUCUACCUAUGUGAGUGGAAGUGUGGCCACUUCUAGGAGCUCAAGGGCUUGUCUCUGGUAACACUCAUGAAAAGAGGCCAAAGACAAAUGGUUAUAAUGGUAUCCCUGGAUACUAUACAUUGACCGAUGUUGAAAUUAUUGUGUGAGAUGUGUUCGGUUAAUCAAAUGGAAUAGAUGGUUCAAAGCUUAGUAUACCAUGCAAUUCCGAUCAAUUUUAACAUGUUUUCACUAAGUGAAGGUUCAAUCGUAAGAUACCUUCAUUUAUGCAAAUUGAUUUCCAAGAAUAUCAAAAUAUAAAAUAUUUUGAAAAUGGGGGGAGAUUGUUGGAACAUUUUCAAAUAUUUAUAGUGUUCCAAUAACUAUAAAUGAAUUAGUGUAAUUAAUCAAAAGAUAAAUAUUUUGGUCAUUGGCCAAAAGUUAUAUGAUUUGAUUUUUGAAAAAAGAAUUAUAACUAUUCAAACAAUAUUAUUUGAAUAGUUACGAUAUUAAAUGAAUAAUUAUGUGUGUUUUUAAAGAAUUAUUAUUCAGAAAAGACACAUAUUGAAAGAUGUCUCUAUAAAGAGACAUGAAAAUUCCUAUAAAUAGGAAUGAGAUUUCAUUUGGAAAUUACACCAACAAAUUCUGAAAUUCUUUCAUUCCUUCCUCCAUUUUCUAAUAUUACUAGAUUAUUUUAUAAAGUAUUACUAUAGAAAUUCUUUGUAGAAAUUGAGUUUCUUGUUAUACAUUGCUUAGUGCUUAGUGAACUAUUCUUGUCAGUACAAAAUACAAAUAGUCAUUAGCUUCAUAGUAUCCUCGAGGUUAAUUUGCUUGAAACUCUUUUGCAUAUCGAAGAUAGAUGGGGGCGAAUAUAACCUUAAAGAUAGUGACUUGAUAUACACUUUGGAGCCUUAUCUUAUUUCUUCUUUUCCUGUUCGAGUUCUGUUCGUGUGUUCGAGAUUUUUAAUCACCAUAUUUUUGUACUAACAAGGGUUGCAUCAGCAAAGUUUGAACCUUAGUCACUUGGUGCUAAAUAAAGGAUUUAAUCAAUAUUCCCGUGAGAUGUGGCUUUUAUAAUUUAGUAUUUAUCUCUCACAUUAAGAGGCAAUGUCUAAGAAUUUUAUUUAGUGCAUAGAUAAAACUGUAAAAUUUUGAUGACAAAGCUAAAAAUUGUAAAAGUAGGAGGUGGUUUAUAUGGAGGAGUACCUGGGUGAAGGUGAGGAAGGAGGUUUUCUAUUAGGAGAGUUUAGGGUUGAAGGAGAAGACUGUGUACGUGAGAGUGUACGAAUUGUUUGCAUGGUCCUUUUAUAGUGGAGACAAGCUCAACUAUAUGUGCUAAGGCUAUUAACACGGAAGUCAGGUUUGAUACUCUUGGCAAUGAUGGUGAUGUUAUAUUCUAGGAUAAGAUACAUUAACACAGUCGUAGUAGAAACACGUAGUUUCAAGGUUUGUUGGGCUAAGGUUCGCAAAUCACUUCAAAGUCUGUUGAUUGAUAAGUCUACUAUGUAUAAUUUGCCAAAAUGUUAAUUCUAUUGGGAGACCCAUAUCAGAUUCCCUUUGAGUAGACUAUGAAAUCUGAUAAUGAACCCUCUCAGUUUUCUAAUCUUAGGUUCCACUUUGGGCAUGGUUUUUGUGAAUGCAACUAUUUGAUUAACACUUUUUUUUACUUAAAUCUGUUUGUCAAAUGGGUUUAGGUACAUAUAGGGAAUUCAAUUCGUUGACCAUCACCUACACAACAGGUAAGCAGCAUUUCCUUGAUCCAAACCUGUUUGUUGAAACUAGAGAAUGCCAACAGAUUCCACUAAAAAAAGUAAGAAGUUAUUCAAAAGGGUAUAAAGAUGUAUUAAAUGGCAUAACAUUUAUCCACUCGACGCAUCUUUUUUAUAAUACAAGAGACUAGUUUUGUGAUCAAAUAUGCUAGUCAUGGUCUGUCGCUUUGACUUAAACAAUUCUCUUCCACUCCACAGUCCAACUAUAUAAUAAAUUCACAAUGAAAAGCUUUUUUAAUACUCCAACUAUUUAAUAAAUGCACACUGCAGUUUAUCUCUUAAAAUUAUUUAUAUAAAUAAAACUUAAUUAAAAUUUGAAUUUACGAAAAGUUACAUUUCUUUUUUUGCAUAAUAAUAUCAAUCACUUGACUUUAUCAUCUGAUUGUCCUAACCAAAAUAAACUAUUGCCUCAAAGUCGGCAAGAAAAGGGUAGUACAUGUUCCAACCUCGAUGGUGCAAUUUAAUAAUAAAAAAUACAGAAUAGGAUAAUGAAAUUUUGCUUUGUUGAUGAUAAUAGUCAAUUCCUUCGUCUUCGUCAGCUUGUAGCCGCCAAUUUUGUAAGGAUGUUUUACUUUUAGAGCGGAUUAUAUUUAAUAAUUUUAUUAUCAUUAUUAUUUUUACUUUCACUUGUCAUUUUUAUGGCUUAACAAAGUAUAUAUCACAAUUAUUAUGUUUAUUCAACUAUAAAUGCAUUAUUUAAUACUACAGUUUUAAGUUUUUGAAUGUUUUACAACUUAAUGCUGCCAUAUGGGUACAAUUUUGGAUCUAUCGAAACAAACAAAUCUCAUAUGAUUAAUUCAUUUCUUAAUGCCAAACUUAAGCAUAUUGAAAAUGGCUUAAAGAUUUUAUAUUAUCAUCAGGCAAAGACUUCUUUCAUGGGAAACUUUAUUAGGAAGGUCAAACUUUUUAUUUUCAUCAUGCUUAUAUAAUAAUUGUUUGUUUUAUAUGUCACAUCUAAUACUUGUAGAUUAUUAUUACAAUCCAUAUUUAAAGUUCAUGUUUACUUUUCUUAAAUAUAUCAUUUCUAAAUAUUGAACUUGAAUACUCAUAUUAAAAAUGUAAUGUGCUUUACCAUUGCACUUAACCACUUAUUAGUAAUAUACAUAAUCUUUUAAUCAUAAGAAAGGAAUUUUUUUUUAAAUAUGAAUAUAUGCAUAUUAAAUAUAUAUUAAUAUGCGGUAAUCACUUUGAAAUCCAAAUAAUACAACUCUUUUCAAUCUCAUAAAUUUCAUAUAUUGGAUUAUAAGAUUUCAAGAUAAAAUGUUUAAUUCUGGCUCUUGAGGUUAUUAAAGAAAAUUAAUCAUGGGAUUAGCACCCAUAGACUUAGUUGUUUGGGCCAUUAAAAGGGGAGAAUAAGAGUUGGUGGAGUAUGCGAUCGCAUAAUUGGCCAACUCGCUGCCGUCGCAGUUUAUGGAUACCAACCCACUUUAACCCUUUGUUUUAUACUAGCAAUAAGUAAUGGGUUUGACCUUAUUACUUAAAUUAUUAAUUGGUGCUUGGCACAUGAUCACCACUUCACAUUUUCUUCUUCUAAAAGUUUUCAUACUGUGAAUUAAAAUUUUAAAAUUAAAUAUGAAGUAAAUAUAAAAUUCAAAUCUGUAACUUUUUUUUUCUUUUUCUUAAGUUGGGGCUAUUUAAAAAUAUGUUUUUAUUUAUUAAUUUAUCCUUUUGCUGGGUGGCCUUUGGAACCGACUCUUGUUAUCUGUACAUUAAAAUUUCAAACUUCUAUAGUAUAUAUUAUCUUCGUUUUUCUCCACAAAUUUGUACUAAUUAUAAAUAUUUUAUCUUCAAUUGAUGACAGAGUACUAAAAAGGUCAUAAAAACUAUAAAUAAAUGAGUGAUCAUCAUGAAUCAUGAAAUUCUAUAGUAGAAUUAAAAGAAAAGGACAAUCUAUGACUUAGGUAGGAUACACAACACAUACUGCAACGACAACUAAUCUUCGAAAACAAUGCUCAUUGGACGAGCCUUUAGCUCGAAGCAAUUACUUAGACAAAUCUGAAAGGCAACGUCUAGCAAAAGACGUUAAAGAAUGGUGCUUACGGAGUGGUAACUCUGUAGUACCACCACACUUAGAUAGAACAAAUUUUCAAUGCUGCAAGAGGAACGUAGGAUAAGACAAAUUUAGAUCUAAAUUCUGAGCACUUUAACAGGGAAUUUUACUAAUUCUUCUUUUACUUUUGGAACAUUUUGAAUAAAUGUUUAGAUUUAUUAGCAUAUUUCUCUAUAAAAAUGUAUAUUUAUUUACAUGUGUCAUAUUAGUUGCAUAAGAAUGUGACUCGAGGAGACAUCGAAAUAUAUUUAUGCCUUUGAGAUGAUGAAUAUGUGGCAAUGUAUGCUUUUCAAACCCAUAUGUCGAUUCGAUGUGGUUGAUAACUUUAAUUGAUGCCUCUAGGUUGUAAUUGGAACGUUGGAUGCUUAUAUGAUCUUAAUUUCAUGGUCUUCUCUAUUGAUAUGCUCUUGUAAUUGGUUUUAGAAUUUUUGAGAGAACAAUUUUGCUAGAAUCAUGUUUACAAAAAAUGAUCUUGGUAAAAUUUUGAAUUAUUUUGAGCUUGAGUAUUGGAUUGAAUAUUUAUGAAUGUGCUUAAUUGAAUAAUUUUGAUGAUGAGCAUGAGAAUUGAUUACUCUAUUGUCUAUUUCAUGAGCUUUGAAAAUAACUAGUGGCUCGAUGAGUAAACGGGGUAGCUAUUUAGUUGUUAUUUACCUUUGGGUCAAAAGGUUCAGUGUUUCCUAGUAUACACCAUUGAUGUAGAUAUGACUAAAGUCAAAGACUGAUUAAGUUUAAUUGACCGAGUAAUUUGGGGUAGAUGUUUGGGCUAUCAUCUAUGCUCACGUUCAAAAGUGGCCGACCUAAAUUCAAAGACAAUAAAAUAGGGAGAAUUCAAUGGUUGGAUUAUUUAAAUUAUGUUUUAAUUUCAUGCUAAUUGAUAAACUUUUGUAAUGAAAUUGAAAAUUUUUGUUUCAACACUUUUUGCUCAAUUAAAAUUAUGAAAUUUAGAGACCUAGUGACUUUUGAAAGUACGUUGAAAUUUGAAUAUGUUGUCUAGAUUUUCCUAAUAUCUUUUAUGCAUUGCAUGUCGUUGGGGAAAGAGAUUACGUACGAAUGCAAAGGUUCAUUAGUUUCGAUUCUUCUUAGGUGUAUGGAUUAUUGUUCUUAUGUCUUGUUAGCAAAUGGUAUUUCAUUUGUGUACAUGAAAGUGUAUUUAUUUAUCUCAAUGAUUUGAAAUUAUGUUUUUACUAUCAAUUUGAGUUGAGUUCUUUAGGUUGCAUUCAUUGUUUUGCUUGAGCAAAAGUAAGAGUUUAAGUGUGGGGUGUGAUAAGUGCUAAUAUUUCAUAUAUUUUAGGCACUUAUAUUUAGCAUUUCAUUUGGUCCUUAAAUGAAAUGUUGCAUGUUAGCUUUCUUUGUAUAAUUAAUGUCUCAUUUUCAUUUGUUUGGAUUUUUAUUUAAUUAUGCUUGAUUGUUAUAUGAUUUUAGUAUUUGAUAGUGAAUUAAGUGUUUUGUAACUUGGAUUAGACCCAUGAGAGCUUAAGGUUCGAGUUUGAGGAUAAUCGGUAAAGAAACGGAGUGUGGAAAACAAAUCGAGUGCCCCCGCUUCGUAGCUGGCACCCAGUGCGUGAUUGAAUGGCACUAUGUUAGCGCCCCUUGUGCCAAGCUUUGGUGCCGGCCCCUACACCCCAAGCUUCGAAACUCAACCUUUAGCCCAAUUAGGGCUAAGCGUUCAAUUGAAUCGAGUACAAAUUUUGGACUUAAUCAAGUUCACAAGUCCUGUUUUAUCAUCCUAACUCAAUUUAAUUUUUUUUUUCAAAUCGAUUUGAGUGAAAUGAAAUUCGAGUUAAGUCGAAUUGAGUGAACUUGUUCGAGUUAAAUUAAAAAAAAUUAAAUAUGUCAAAUAAAAAUAUUGUUACACUAUAACUAAUUAUAUGUUAGAACACAUAAAUUUGAAACCAUAUAUAUUUGAAAAGUUUUUCAGAGCAAAAUAAUAAUAAUAAAAUAAGAUAUUUGAGUAUGAUAAAUUUGAAUCAUUAAAUAGGUCCCAAAAUUAUUAUUUUAGAAUAUUUUUAAAAUUUAAACUUUUUUAUAUUUUUUUAAUUUUUUAAAUUUUUUAAAAAUAUAAAUUUUGAAAAUUUUAUAAAUAUUUUGAAUUUUUAAAAUUAGUUUGAAUUAUUUUGUAUUUUUUGUUUAGAGAGACCAAUUUGCUUAUUUUCAAAAUUGACAGAGACCAAAAGGGUAUUUACACCAAUCUGUUAUUCAAGUUAUUUGAAUUAUUUGAAUUGUGAAAUUCAACUCGACUCGAACUCGAAACUCAAAUCGAGCUAUUCGAGUUGACUCAAGCAAUUCGAAUAACUUGAUUUGAUUAACUUGAAAUUUGAUUUUUUAUUUUAUUUUUUCAAAUCAAAUCGAGUUUUACUCACCCCUAAGCCCAAUGCCCUUGUGCCACAAUUUGUGCACCCCUACACCAAUCCUAGCGCCCUAGCACCAAUGUAUGUAUUUUCUUUGUGUUUUGUCUAAGCUUUAGGGGUAUUUUGGUCCUUUAUGAGUUCUACAACUUCAACCAAUCUCUUGUAACCUAAUUUAAGUUAACUAUACAAUAUAAAUAGGAUAUUUUGGGCUUGAAGCUCUUCUUACCUAAUUUAGGUUAACUACACAAUAUAAAUAUGAUAUUUUGAGAGAGAGUGAGGGAGCCUUUGGCUACUCUCUCAUAUUAUUGUUAUUUUCUUAUUUAUUGCGUUUUUUCAAUUCGUGACGAUCGUAAGUAGAAAGUUCAUAUUCUUUAGUCACUGAUAAACAAUUUGUUGGAUAAUACUCAACGCAAUUAUCACAAAAUAUACAAAUUCCAAAAUCAAUACUAUAAUUAAGCAAUUGUUUUUUUCGAAUAUCCGUUUCAAAUUUCCAAUCAAAAACGGGUAGAUCUAUAGGGCAUACAUGAACACAUACUUCACAAGCAAUGCAUUUAUCAAAUUCAAAAUGGAUUCAUCCAUAGAAACGCUCUAAUGUGAUUAAUUUUUCAUAAGGAUAUUGAAUAGUUACGAGUAAAUGAUUUGUGUGGGAUAAGGUAAUCAUGAAACAUUGACCAAUGUACAUUGCUGCUCGGACUGUUUGGUGGCCAUAAUUCAUGAACCCAGUUACCAUAGGGAACAUAUCAUGAAUAUCUAUGAAUAAUUUUAUGUUUGUUUCAAGUCAUGAAUCUCAUAUUCUUUUUUUCUUUACAGUGAAAGAAGUUGUUAAUAAUAGAUUACCGAGAGAAAUAGGUAAAAGAAAUCAACCCUAUGGUUUUCAAAACUUAAUUUUCUAGUCAAAGAAUUAUCGAAGUUUGAUUCAAUAAAUUUGUGAAACUUUAUUUUUCUUUGUUCUUUAUUAUUCACUCAUAUUCUAUUUUAAUUACAAUUAUUCAAGUUUGUUAAAUAUUUGGUGGAUAUUUGAUAGCUUAGAACGAUUGCCUUGUCAAAUAGAAUAAUUAAAUCUGUAACCGUUUAAGUCAUUCUAAUACUAGUGACGAAUUGCAUAAUUGUUUAUAUUGUAGUUUAUGAUUAUAUGUUGUGGAUGUGUGAUUUAGCAUAAAUAUACCCCUUUGAGGUGAGUUUGUUUAUUAGAAUUAGGUCUCUCUCAUUCUUAAUGUUGUCGGUAAGUUGAAUGUUGGGAAUUGAUUUACAAAGUUAUUUAUUAGCAAGAGAAGUAAUCCAAACAAGUUGCCUCUUGGUUACUAAACAGGUAAGGAGAGAUUGUUUGCCCGAUGUUGAGUCAACAACUAGAACUAAUUUAUUAAAGGUAUUAUCAUUAUCAUUGGGUCAAUGAUUGAAUCUAUGAAUCAAAUGGAUAUUUUACUUUUGACUAGAGUUUUUCCCGUUGAUUUUCCAAAACUUUUAAUUAUUGCAUUUAUCAUUUUGUUUUUAAUUUGAAUUUAGUUUUUUAUUUCCUAAAAACCUCUCUUUUAUCUACUUGUUUUUUAUUUAAGGAAUAGAAUUAUCACUAAUUUCUAUGGAUACGACCCCUACUUGUCACUUACUACUAAUCUUAUACUUUUAAGUACGUUUUAUUUUUGUAGGUCUCAAUAGCUUAACAUGCUAGUAAUGCAAGAUAAAGAUUAUUGGAAUUAUAUUUUAUUAUAAUUCUAUAUGAGUUUUUUUUCCAUUUAUCAAUUCUUUCUUUUUUACAUGUUGGGAUUUUUUUGAAGACUGGUAAAAUUGAACAUCACAUCUAACAUUUGAUUCUUUUUAUACAGUUAAGAGUCCCUGCGAAACGAGUGAGUCUUCUGACAUAUGCUCCAGGCUUGGCUUUGAUCAUUUCCUUUCUGUUGAAUUUCAAAUGGGGUGGCGAGAGUGGCCCAGAAGUUCUAAAGGUGGCUCCAUUAAUGAGUACGUCUCUUUCUGAUCUCCAUAUCCAAUUUUUCCAUUCUGACUCUGAUGCAUAGAGCCUAUUGGUUACCUACAAAAGUGAAAUGGAAAAAAAAUAAUGGUAUGAUCUCAAAUAUAUUUUUGGUCACAUGUUUAUCAUGCUUACAAAUGUAAUGAAUGUUAUCAAUAUUGUUUAACUAUAUUUUGGUUUACCUCUUUGGCAUUGGGGUCAUGCGGAGCAAUGAACCUGUUACCUUGGCUGAUAAUGGUGGGAUGCAUGCUACCACCAAUAGCAUACAUUUUCCAAUGUGUGUAGUCAUUGUUAACAACAUGAAAGAAACCCCAUCGACAUCUAGGCAUUCUUUGUAAUAAUUCCUUGCCAAAACGGUUGAAUGCUAUUGUCACUUGCAUGAAUUUAUCUUUAGAAUAGCUAUCACUUGCUCCUAACAACAUCACCUAAAAGAAAAAUCCAUGAACGUUUAAUAAAAAACUAGGUGACAAAUUAUGUAACUUGUUGAGUAUUUUAAGGCAAAACUUACAGCGUCGUGAUGGGUGAAAUGGCAAUUUGAAAUGGUGAUGGCAGUUGAACCCUGGAUUGCAUCAAUAAGCCCAUCAUGGCACUCAGACAUAGAAAUGUGAUCAAGCCAAAUAUUUGAUGAUCCAAAUAUGGAAAUUCCAUCUCCAUCACCUACUGUUCUGUAACCAAAGUGAUCUUCAGAGUCCCUGAUUAGGCCACCAGAACUUGGAACAAUGCGAUGGAUAUGAAUGUUGUGAAUGAUGACAUUGUGCACAAAUUGAAGUGUAAUUCCAGCUCCAUAUGCUAUAUGAACAUCUGCUCCACGGCCAUCGAUUGUCUUAUGACUUUGAACUAUUAGCUCUUGUGACAAUUUGAUGUGCAUGGUACGAGCAAAAAUGAUCCAUAAUGGCCUUUUUUGGAUCACAGCGUGACGUAAGGUUCCUAGUUUUGGGUUUAGAACAUCAUGAUCAGAAUUAUCUGUCACCAAAUAAUACUUCCCCUUACUUCCACCAUGAGUUCUAUGGCCAAAACCAAGCACACAUUUUGCCAAUCUUUUACGAUUUUUGGCCCAGUUCUUCUUACACCGCCAACACCUAUCAAUUGGAUUGGUCGCCAUGCAUGGACCAGUGUACUUCUUGUGUUUUCCUCUCAAGUAUCUUCUCGUGUUGUUAGUAAUACCAUCCUCAAAAUCUAUGGUUUGGUUGGCACUAGUUUCUUUAAGAAACCUGCAACAAAUUGUCCAAGAUAAUAUAUGAUGCCUCUAUUUAAAAUAAGUUAAUAACAAAGUUUCAAGAUAUUGCAAAUAGUGGUUGUGGCUCUCAAGCAUCUAAAUUAUGAAAAUUUGAUCAUUACAAUGAAGGCGUGUGAUUGUUGUAAGCUAAUUUGUAACCUAAUAAGAUUAUGAGUAACAAUGUUAUAGAAUACAUGCAUGAAAGAUUACUAAUUGGAAUAAAAAAUAAUGAAAAUGAGAAGAACAAAGAGUUUAGCUUAAUUAAUUCAUGCAUAUAUUCUUAAUUGUUGAUAUUCAAUAGGAUAAUAGUUCAGCUUUCAAUAUCUCUACCUUAUUUUCUUAUCCCCAAACUAUGAACUUUUUAUAUAAAACAUAGUAAGAUUUACUUGUUAACAUUAUAGCUCAAAUGAUUGGUGACGUUUUCUGGGUUUGGCUCAUAAGUUGCCAAGGUAAUAUUCCAAGCUUCUUCCUCACGUUGCUUCCAAAAGUCAUCAAAUUCAGCAAUAUUUGCCCAUAAUCCUGGAAUUAGUGCGGCAAACGAAAAGAAAAAAGCAAACCUCACUUUAGUUACCUCCAUUGUUAUUUUCUUACGAUAUGUUUCGUUUCUUAAAGGUAUAUUUGGGUUUUCAAAUCGAUGAAGAUGAUGAAACCCAAAUAUACCUAGAGCUAAUCUGGUUGGCUAAAGCCUUGUUUAUUUUGAUGGAGACAAGAAUUUUUGAGUCGCCUUAAAUAAACCUUCCAUGAAAUUAUAUGUCUCUAAAAUUAUGGUACCUGACUAACCAUCAACCAACCAAUUUAUGUACAACCUAAAACUAAACUUUUCCCCCUAAAACUAUAUGCAAGAAAUUGGUUGGCUUUCAUACCUUGUUUUUAACAUCAAUCAAAUGAAUACGUCAAUUUACCACAGGUGACGCUCUCUCAUCUUUUACUUAGUUUUUAAUUAUCCAUUAAAUUUAUUUUAAUAAAAUCAAAUCAUCUAUAUCAUUAAAAUUUUAAAUAAAAAUAAUUUCUCCUUCAAAAAACUUCCUAAAUUUUAAAACUAUUGUGAUGGAUAAAUCACUAAAUUAUAAAAAAAAUUAAUUUUUUUUCAAAUACUGCUAAAAGUUAACAAGGGAAGAGAAAAUUUUCAAAAAAUUUAAAUAUUAUUUAAUUAGUUAAUUAAAAAAACCAAUUGUGUUUAAAAAACAUUAUUAGAUUUUAUAAGGUUUCAUACUUCUAAAAAAUAAAAUAUGACGGUGUUUAAAAAUUUUAUUUUAAAACUUUUAAAAUGUAUACAAAAUUAAAAAAAAAUACUACUAAAGAACUUUUAGAAACAAAAUUAAAUAUUAUUUAAUUAGUCUUUAAUUUUUUAAAAUAUUAUAUGUAUUUUAAUUUUUUUAUAAAUACUAUUAAAAUUUUUUAAAAAGUAAAAAUUUAAUACUAUUUAAUAUAAUUAUUAAAAAAAUUAAUACUAUUUAAUAACAUUAUUAAAAAAUAAAAAAAUAUAUUUAAAAUUUUAAGAAAUCCUAAUUUGAAAUUUUAUAUAAAGUUUAAAUGUUUUACAUGUUAUUCGUUAUUCCUUUAGUUUAAGAAAUAGAUACGAUUGUCUUACAAAGUCGUAAUAGCAUCAAACCAAACAGAACCCAUUGAUUCGGUGUUGUGCGACGUACAAUUAGAAGAAUUGAUACUGUAACACCCCUAACCUGUAUCCGUUAUCAGAACAGGUUACGAGGCAUUACUGGACUUAUACCCCAGCAUUCGUAUAAAACCAAGUCAAAAAUUUGCAUUCUAAAUUAAAACUUUUCAAAUUUUAUGAUAAAGUCCCUAAUUGGGCCUACGAGACCCAAUACAUGCUUUAGAAGUGGUUCGGGACUAAACUGGAAACUUUGGAAAUUUUACCUUGAAGAUAGGGGCACACGCUCGUGUGGCCUAAGACAUGGCCGUGUGGCCAGCCCGUGUGAAAUUCUGACUUGCAAUUUCUUAAGUAUCAAAGGGGCACACGGCCUGGGCACAAGCCCAUGUGGCUAGGCUGUGUGGUAAACUGAUUUUUCACUAUUUUUAAGCCAUUUUCACAUGAUUUUGACACACGACCAUGCUUGAAACCCAUGUCCUUCACACGACCAAGACACACAGCCGUAUCUUUUGCCCGUGUACUAUCCUGACUUCACAUUUAAGGAUGCAUGGGACACACGGUCAUUUUACACGCCCGUCUAGCCAUGUGGAUGAAAAUAGGCCGUUUUAGGUCACUUUUCUCACCCUUUCAUCCAUUACCUGCACUUAAACACAAUUAUAUACAAUUUACAACCAACCAAUCAACCAAUUUAUGCCCAUAAUAUGUAUUUUAUAUUAACACACUACUACUUAAUGAUUAAACCAAGUUUCAUACACAUAUGCCAUCCCUUUUACAUACUUUAACCAUUUAUAACUUUAUCCAACCAAAUACUUGUACAUGCCAUAUAAAUCAAAAGAUAAUAACUUAAAAACUACCGGAGAACGUCUGGAUAGUGUGAUUCUUGGUGAUUAUCCAAUCCUCCGACUCCAUGUUAAUCUACAAGACAUAUCAAUCACAUUCAAGUAAGCUUGUGAAAGCUUAGUAAGUUCAUAGGCUUAGAACAUAAACUUACCACAUAUGGUAAAGCAUUCGUAUAUUAUACAACUUAUUAAUUUCUCCUGUCAUUCACAAACCAAAUCAAUUUCACUUAAUAUUAUUCACACUUAAACUUCAUUCUUUUGGGCCCAUUUAUCGCUUACCAUCUCUUUUCAAAUUAAGAAACUAUACGGAAUUGAGUACUUCGUCUUCACUUUGCCAUAGUAAAACUAUGGACUUGCACAUGAUCACGUUUCACUUUCCGAAGCCAUGGCCCAACCAUGGUCUUACACGAGUCAUAUAUUAUACUGAUGCCAUAUCCCGGAUAUGGUCUUACAUGGGAGCACUUAUCACUUUUCUCCAAUGCCAUAGCCCAGCUAUGAUCUUAUACAGAUCACUUAUCACUUGUUUUCCAAUGCCAUAGCCCAGCUAUGGUCUUAUACAAAUAUCACUUAUCACUUGUUUUUCGAUGCCAUAACCCAGCUAUGGUCUUAUACGGAUAUCACUUGCAAUACCCCCUACCCGUAUUCAUUGCCGGAAUAGGGUACUAGGUAUUACCGGAGUUUACAAAUAAAUAAUUUUUUUUCUUUUUUUUUUGUUUAGGAAAAAACUCAAUAUAAUCCCUUUACAGAUAUCUAACCUUCCCUGCAAUAUUAUAUCAAGACCAAUCCAAAUCAACCAAUCCAAUUCAACAUAUUUUCAAGAUAGAUUCAUGCAUUUUUAUAAGAUAACCUCAUCACAUAACUAAACCAAGAUUUGUUAGCCAUACCAUUCGCUGACCUUACAUUCAUUUCAUAGAAUCAUUUACUUUAUUAGCUUAUACAUGCCAUUGAUUUCCAAAAUAAAGUUUCUUUAUAUACCGAAGUCCUGAGGUUGAUAGUGUGAUGUGUCUCCGACCAAAUCCAACCUCCGAGCUCUUAACAUUACAAAACAGGGAAAAAGGAAACGGGGUAAGCACUUCGUGCUUAGUAAGCUCAUGUAACAAGAAUUAUACUUACCUAAUAUUUUCAAUACAAUACAAUAAACAUCCAUAUAUCCAUUCAAUGCAUUAUUACCCUAAUAUGCACAAACUCAACAUUCAAGUUAGUACAAUAAUUUCCAUGUACCAAUAAUAUAUACCAUGAUUGAUGAGCUCAUCAAUACCAUGAUUUCCAUUUCCUUGUUAUUUUUCCAUAUUUAUCCCGUUGAAUUUAUCAGAAUUUCGAUGGAUUUUUCAGAGGUACACUUUUAGUGUACAAUUCCGAGUCCGUCAAUUCAUAUUCAUGUGCGCACAUUUCUAUUUCAGAGAGCACGCUCCCGCGAACCUCAUCCUUACAGCGGGAUUACCAGUCCAGGCUAAAUCCCCUGUAAUAUAAACUCAUAGAGUAUUGUCGGGAUUACCAGUCAAAGCUAAAUCCUUUGCAAUGACAAUUACUCUAAUGAGCUUGGAUCUGAAUUACCAAUCUAGGCUAAAUUCAGACCCUAAUUCGGAUUACCCGUCCGGGCUAAAUCCAUUUUAGACAUAUUCUUCGGGAGGGCUAUAUCAAGAUAGGAUCACCCGUCCAGGCUAGAUCCUUUUUACCAUCAAUUCCUUUUCAGAGAUCCAUCGAAAUUUUCUUUCAUUCAACCGGGAUUUCUUCCCCUUUUUAUCAAAUAUAUCAAUGUUUCAUAAAUUUUCAUACAAUGAACUUUCAAAUCAUAUUCAUAUAAAAAAACAUGCAUUUCAAGCAUUUAAGAAUAUAAUUCAAGUUACAUGAACUUACCUUGAUACUUGUUUGUAAACAAAAAAUCUACUAAUCCCGAACUUUUUCCUUUCCUCGAUCUAGCUUCGUAUUUGAAUCUUCUGGAUCUAAAUAAAUAAAUUUAAUUAUCAAUUUAAUACAUUUCAUGUUCAUAUGCAACAUUCUCUAUAAUUCAACUAUUAUUUAUAGUUCAUUCAAAGUUGUCUACUUGAGUCAUAGUCACUAAAUUAUUUUUAUCUUGAGCUACAGAACUCCAAAUUAGGAUCCGAUAAUUUUCCAUGAAACUAGACUCACAUAUCUUCUUAUCAUAAAAUUUUUAUAAUUUUUGGUAUAUCCAAUCAGUACAGUUUAUUCUUUAAAGUUACCCCUGUUCUGCUGUCGACAGUUCUAACCCUUCUUCACUAAAAAUUAAUUAUCUCUUCAUACAGAAUUCAAAUGAUGUUCUCGUUUGUUUCUCUUAAAAAUAGACUCAUUAAGGAUUCUAUACAUAUAAAUUUAAGCCCCUAAUUGUUUUAUUCAAUUUUUUAUGAUUUUUUAAAGUCAGAACAGGAGAACCCGAAUUCAUUCUGACCUUGUCUCACAAAAUUCAUUAUAUCUCAAAAUUUACAAAUCCAUUGCUUACACUAUUUCUCCUAUGAGAAACUAGACUCAAUAAUAUUUAAUUCCAUAUUUUUUUCAUCUUCUAAUUCAAUUUUUACAAUUUAUGGUGAUUUUUUCAAAGUUAGUCUACUGCUGCUGUCCAAACUGUUUUUGUGCAAGCUGUUUAUUACCAUUUUUCCCCUAAGCUUUUAAUAAAUGAUAAUUUCGUCCCUACUCAAUUAGCCUCUCAAUUGAACUGAUUUUUCUCAAUUAAUAUUUUAUUCUAUCACCUUAAACUAUUUUACAACCUUUAGGAAUCAUAAUUUUAGCAAUAGACUUGAAUUCCAAGCAUUUUCACAAUUAGGUCCUAAAAAUCAAUUUCUAUUGAAAUUACCUAAUAAAAUCAUCUCAUAAACAAAUUAAAGCUUUAAUUUCAUUCUAUUUCAUCAUAAACUUACAGAACUAAAUCAUGGUGACUUUCAAUUUCAUCCAUGAAAUCAAAAACUAAUAAAUUUAAUAGUAGGACCUAGUUGCAAAAGUCUUAGAAACACAAAAAUUACAAGAAAAAGGCAAGGAUUAACUCACUCGGUGCAAAAAUUAUGAAAUACCAGCUUAGAGAACCCUCCUAUGGCAUUUUUAGCUGCUGGAAUUGAAGAGAAAUGAAGAGAAAUCUAGAUAUUUCCUAUUUAGUCCUAGUUUUAUUUAGUUAAUUUUGCAAUAUUCUAAUUUUACCCUUAAUUUAUCAAUUUUUCUGCUGAUUGCAUACCCUUGCCGUCCAGCCCAAAUAACUUUUGGGUCUAAUUUCCUUUUAAAUCCUUUCUCAUUAGACUCUUAAACUAUUUAAUCAUUCUAGCAACUUUUACACCUAUUACAAUUUAGUCCUUUUCAUUUAAUUGACUACCCAAACAUUAAAAUUUCGUAACGAAAUUUUAAUACCACAUUAAUAACAUUUCAUAAAUAUUUAUAAAUUAUUUUCGACUCAGUUUUACGAGAUAGAAGUCUCGAUACCUUGUUUUUACCCAAUUUCUUCAAUAAUUUCUUUUUCUAAUUAACCACUAAAUCGGUAAAAUUUUUCUAUCAAUAUUUUCAUACAAUUUUCCUAUCAUAUCAAUUUUCAUGCAAAAAUAUUGAAAUAAAUUUCUCUUUAAAUCGGAUUUGUGGUUACGAAACCACUGCUCCGAUAAUUUUGAAUUUAGGCCAUUACAUCACUUAUCACUUGUUGCCAUGGUCCAACCAUGGUCUUUUUCCGUCAAUUCAUCGUUUGACACUGGACAAAAGUACUCAAUCUGAUGUUUCAUUCAAUAUAAUCAUUUCUUCAAUUUCAUAUUUUUACAUUGUUCAUGGUUUUAUCAUAAUCAUAAGUAUAACUCAUUAUAAAAUUCAUAAUAAUAACAAUGAUCACUAAAAUUUAGCCACAUGAACUUACUUGGGCUAAUUCGCAAUAGUUGUAGAAGUUCGAGAAAACUAUUCGCCUAUUUUCUCCUUUCCAUGAUUCACUUCAAUUUCUUGAUCUAUAAUUGCAAAAUCAUUCAUUAAUUAACAUUCAUUUCAAUUUUAUUUUAUCUCACAAUUUAUACCCUUUAAUUCCUAAAAUUAUACUUUUACCCCAAAUUUCACAAUUUUCACAAUUUGGUCCCUGACCAAUUAACUCAUCAAUAAAACCUUUUAUUCUCAAUUAACACUUUCCUUAGACAUUUUAAGUUACUUCAAAACCAUUGAAAUUUAGAAUUUUCACAUAAAAUCCUAAUCUCAAGGUCUUUUACAAUUAGGUCCCCAAAUAUUCACUUUCUUUAUAAUUCUUUCAAUAAAAUCAACAUAUAAACAAAUUAAAGCUUUAAUUCCAUGCUAAAUCAUCAUAAAAUUCCAGCACUUAUUCAUGGAAACUUUCAAAAUCAACCAUGAAAUCAAAAACUAAUGAAUUAGAUGAUAGGACCUAAUUAUAAAAGUCCCAAAAACACAAAAAUUUCAAAAAAUAAUCAAGAUUUGAACUUUGAAAAAUCAGCUCAAAGGUUUCUUCAAUGUUAGCUGAAGAGGAUGAAGAAAAUUGAAGAAAUCUCUAAAUUUCCAAUUACAUCCCAUUUUUAACUAUUCAAUUUUUACUUCUUUUCCAAUUUUACCCCUUGUUCACACCUAAUUUCAAUAUUUCCAGCACACACAUGCCGUCCAGCCCAGUAAUAGUGUUUAAUUACCUAUUUAGUCCUCCUUUAAUUAUUACUAGAGCUAUUUAAUCACAUUUCACAAUUUUGCACUUAAUUUGAUUUAGUCCUUUUUACCCAAUUGACUACCAAAACCUUAAAAUUUCUUGACGAAACUUUAACACUAACUUACUAACACUCCAUUAAUAUUUAUAAAAUACUUAUGGCUCGGUUUAAUAGUUCGAGGUCUCAAUACCUCGUUUUCACUUCCAAAUUAUUUAGCAUUUAUUAUAAAAUACUAUUCACUAUUUCAAUCAUUUUCCUAACUUCACAUCUAACUUAUUUUCAUUAAAUUAAUAAUAUUUUCUACUCAUUUUUCGGAUUUAGUGAUCUCGAAUCACUGUUCCAAUACCACGGAAAUUUGGGCCGUUACAGAUACGGUCCAUAUUUAUUGUAACCGGUCUACUAAAGAAUAAAUUGACGUGACCAAUUAAAUGAGUGGUUGGAUUUGUCAAGGAAAAUAACAAUCGGGUUUAAAUGAACCAUGCAGUUGAGGUCAUUGAUUCAAGUCAGGUCCUUCUAGUUCUCAAAGCUACCAAGGAGCUAAAUGGUGGAUGCGUAUUCAGAGUUGUGCAUUCAAUAAGUGUUAGUUGGACGUGACCGCAGUUAUUUUACACAUGAAAGGGCUAGUUGCCUGAGACGUUUCCUUGUUCUCUAUAAUCGACUCACCAAUUAGAGGAGAAAAUUCAUUAUCCAGGAUUAGUUCGAAACUGAAGCUUAAAUCGUCACUGAAGUUAGAGAGCUGUCCAUUCGACUUAUUUAUUUUUAAUUUCAUUUUUUUAUUUCCACUUUUUUUAUUUAUUUAUUUUCUAAAUUUAAUCUCUUUUUUUUAUAGGUUGGCACGAGUAGCAUGCAUUAAAACUACUUAUGACAAGUUCUUGUUGUAACAAAUUUUGGUUAGAUCAAUCGCUUAACUUUACUCCUUAUACUACUAUAUAUAUUUUGUUUAAAUAUAAAAAAAAAUUAUACAAAAGAGUACGAUGUCAUUCAAUUACCCUAUACUGUCCAAACAUAUAUUUCUGCUAAAAUUCAUGUCGUAAGAAUAGGAGGAAGGGUAUGUCGAACUGUUGUAUUUUACUUCCUCUUAUGAUUAAACAGGUUUCUGCAUAUGUUUUUUGUUAGUUUUUGACAACAAAAACUCUUUCAGGUCUGUUAACACUGUACUGGAAUUCUACUCUUUCCCGAUGAAGAUGAUCCUUUCGGGAGCCUCCUGGAUGCUGUAAAAACACUAAUAUGAGAAGAGCUACAUUGCACAUGAUUUGUGGUUCGGUGUUCUAUGACUGCAUUCAAACUGAUUUGGGUUACCAGAUUAUGUCAUCAUCAUUCUUCUUUUUUCUCUCAAGAUGCACAAAAUCUUGGAAUCUCAGUUGAACUUCGUACCAUCUAUAAGCCAGAAGUAUGUACUUAUGGGUUUCUUUUAAUACAUUAAUCUCAAUUUACCAAUUUACUCACCUAAAGUGAAGUCACAAGGGAGUGCAAUUUGUAUAGUUUUAAUACAAAUUUUUAAGUGAUUGAUCUUAUGACGAGGGUACGAGAGUGAACGUCCAUGAUCAAUGAGCCAAACACUGAGAUUUGUGUAAUAUUUAUUAUUCUCGACAUUUCAUUUUAUGGAUAUAUUCAUAAGAAAGCGUAUGUUUACAAAGCAGGUAAUUAGAUCUCCAAUAGAUUGUAUGCUUUAAUUGAUCUUACAUAAUAUUUAUUUGAAUUUAUUUAUAAAAAAUAUAAAUUUAAAUUUAAAAAACAUGAAUUUUGUAAGGAUCAUAAUGACCGUUUGUUCAAUCCUAAACUUGACUUAGCUCCAUCUACAGGCACUUUUAAUUUGUAACUACAACUAUAAAAUCGUUGAAAAAAAUAUAUAUAUUUGAUGUAUUAUAGGUGUAUGAAACAUAAUUAAAUAAUAAUUAAUUAUAAAUAAAUGUUAAAACUCUAAACUUGAGAUCUUAUACACUAGACUUAAACCCGAGACUCCAAAUUCAAUAUCAUAAACCAUUAAACCUAAUAUACUAAAUCUGGGAGUGAUUAAUAUUUAUUUAUAAUAAUUACGAUUAAUGUUUAAUUAUAUUUAAAUAGAAACUUAUAAAAAAUUAUGUUUAAAUAAAAUUAUUAAUAUAUUUAUUUACAAAUUCUCCAUAUUUUUUAUUUAAUUUAAUAAUGAUGUGUUAUGUUUUUAUUCACUAAUUAUAUAUGAGACUAUACACGGAGCAUAGUAGAGAUCCAGAGGCAAUGGCUCUCCUAAAAUGGUAAAAUUUUAAUUUAGGUAUUUUAUAAUUUAUAAAACUUUAAAUUAGUUAUUAUAAAAUUACGCUUUGGUCAUCAAAAAUGAUAAAAAUUUAAUUUAGUCAUUUAAAAAUUAUAAUGAUAUAGGCUAUUAAAAUAAUAAAAUUAUAUUUUUACUAUUGUAAAAAUAUACAAUUUAAUUUAGCCUACUAAAAAAAAUUUUCUAACUCCGCCACUAUAUACAUAUACAGUGUAUCAAAUAUUAUUUUUUUAAAAUAAUAAAAAAAUUAAUAUACUAACUCUGUUUAAGAAUUAUUGGUUAAAGCGACUAUACAAGUGGGUUAUAGAAUUUCAUUUUCUAAUAGACUUCUAAAAAGUCAACAUUUGCAUAGACUUCAAGAAAAGGUCCACAUUUGCAUGCUAUGAAGUAUUGCAUGGAGUUACCAUUUAUGGUCAAGCUCAAGUUCGGUGUAAACGCACAAUUCUAUUCAAUUCUACUCAUCUAAUGCAUAGUCAAACUCGAAAAAGAAUUUUAGUGUCUAGAAAAGUAUAAAAUUUAAAAAAAUUUAGGAUCAAAACUAACAAUUAAACUUGUUCAGUUCCAUGCAAGUACAUGGUUUUGAUUUUCUUCAACCUUGCAACAACUUCUUCCAUAUCAGUCCUUUCCUCUGCUACCUCUGCUGAACAUUCCAGAGCUAAUUGCAAAAUGAAUAAUUUACAAUCCUUUGCUGCUAACCCUUCUCUUUCUCUUGUAUUUAGAAGCUUACUGUCUACCACAUCAACUAAGUAAUAAGAUGGUAAUGAUUCUUUCACCCAACGUUUCAAGUUCAUUUCUUCCCCAAACAUAUCAUCCGUCCGCUUCUUUCUUGUGAAAGUUUCCAUGACAGGAAUCCCGAAACUAUACACAUCACUUUUGUAGAAACAAUCCCUUCUGAUCCAUAUUCUGUAUAAGAAAAUUAUUUAAAUUCAUUAUAAAUUUAUUUGAAGAAUAAUUUGAAGGCAAGCACAAGUCUAUAUACAUUACCUGGUGACAUGCAUCCAAUAGUUGCUAGUGUCUUUGUUUGUAUCAUUGAAUCUUUUUUGCCUAAGAGUUUUGCAAUGCCAAAAUCACCCAAAUGCGCUACCAUUUCUGUUUCUAGCAGGAUAUUGUUUGGCUUUAUAUCGCAAUGAACCACGGAAAGGGAAUGAUCAUGGUGGAGAUAUUCCACUGCCAAUGCAAUGUCUAUCACUAUAUUCAACCUUUGCAAAACAUUCAGAAAAUGGUUUUGAGAAUAUAGCCACUUCUCCAAGCUUCUAUUAGGCAUGAACUCAAGUUCCAAAGCUUUAAAUUCAACAUUAGAGCAACUAUUAAUGAUUUUAACCAGAUUCCGAUGACGAAUGUUGCGAAGUACCUCACACUCGAUAUCAAAGCUUUUAAAGGCUCUAUCUUGAUUUACAUGGAACACUUUUACUGCUAUGGUCAUCCCAGUUGAAAGAGUUCCUUUGUAUACUGACCCGAAACUCUCUACCCCAAGUAGAUUGCUUUGGGAAAAUCCAUCAGCAGCUUGAGCAAGGUCAUGGUAAGAAAUUCUUCUCCAUUCAGGUAACGGUGGCAAAUUUUCUUGAAUUGGUAGUUCAGCUUUCGAAUUUUGACUUCGUAAAAGAAUGAUAACCAGGAUUGGACCGUUAAAAUUCAAUUAAAAUUCUGUUUUAUCAUUUUCACCCCCAACUUUUAAAGUUACGUUUUAGACGGGAGAAUUAAUUAGAUCGUUAAAAUUUUAAUGAUGCUAAUGUAGAAAAUUACUUGAUAAUUUGCAUGUAUAUCAUAAAGAUUCAAUUUUUUUUUUUAAAUUUCAUAAAAAAUUUCAUAAAACUUUUUUAAAAGUUAUCCACAUCUUUAAUGAAAUACAUGUGAAUUAGUAUGUAAAUUUUAAAAGCUAUAGGCUAAAAUAAUAAAAAGAACAAUUAGGAUUAAAAUGAUAAAAAAGAAACAUUAAAAAUUAAAUUUAUGAAUAUUCUUAUAAACUUCAACCUUACAGCCUUUUAGGAAAUAUGCUUUUUCAUUAUACGAGAUAUUAUAAAUAAUAAAUAAUAAUCAUACAAUCUAUCAUUCUAUUAUGAUCACGUGGAACAUUACAACUAUUAGCCUGAAAAUUAAAUUAAUCAAAGUAUUGCAGAAUAUUGAAAGUUUUGGUUGGUAAAAUCUACAUUUCUUUGUAGGGACAGUUAUUGAUCAAGUUGCAGGAAAUUAUCUACCAACCAGCGUACCAGCAUUGACUGUCUCACGCAGACGUCGAACACCAAGCAACUAAGAAGAAAAUAAAUCAUUCAAAAUACUUUCUCAAGUUCAUUUAAUUUUAAACAUUUUCAAACUCAUUCUCCAGUAUAUUUAGAUUUAGAAAAAAAAAAUUUUAAGAUAUAUUUAGAUAAUUUAUAUAAUUUUUUAAGUUUUAUUAUUUUUAAAAAAAUUAAAAAAUUUAUUUUUUAUUUUUAUAUUUUUUUAAAGAUUAUUUAAAUUUAAUUUCAAAAAAUAACAUCAUCCAAAUAUAAUAAAAGUUGAAAGCAUUUAAUUAGCCCAGCUGAUCUGAAAAGAAUAAUUGUUUUAUUAUUUCUCUGAACAUUUUAUAUAAUUACACUUUAUGUCAAUGCCGUCAAUUUUUAAAUGUAUUUAUCGGCCGAUGAUGAGAUAAUGCCACCAAUUUGUCAAACAACAGCGAUAAAUACUAUAGAGAUCGAAUAAUUUACAUACAUGAUUUUAAGUUAAGUUAUUUUAAAUAAUUAAUUAGAAAAUUUAGAUUACUUUUAAAAAAAACCAGUAGCAGUUGGAUUCCCAUGCACCAUCCAGUCGUUUUGCUGAUUAUUUAAUCAAAGAGUUUCCAUUAUUUCAUAUCCUUCAUCAACCCAAGUAAGCCAAUGGGAAAAUCUCACUUUAUGCUGUCUCUUGUACUUGUGAUUUUGUUUCUAAAUUUUGUUCGUUCUUUUUCCAUGGAAUCACCCAACAUCACCACAGACCGGUUAGCUCUUCUUGCAUUGAAAUCUCAUGUAACUUCUGAUCCAAAACGUUUUUUAGCAACCAAUUGGUCUACUAACACAUCUGUCUGCAAUUGGUUUGGCGUCACUUGCGGAUCCAAGAACCUUAGGGUCACAGUUUUGAAUCUUACAGGCAUGGUUCUGGUAGGCACCAUACCAUCACACUUGGGAAAUCUAUCCUUCCUCACCAGACUCAACAUUAUGAACAAUAGUUUUCAAGGCUUAUUACCCAACCAUUUGGCUAAUUUGCAUCGGUUGAAGUUCAUAAACUUGGGUAACAACAAAUUCGGUGGAGAAAUCCCAUCAUGGUUCGGUUCCUUCACUCGACUUCAAAACUUGUAUCUAUUCGGAAACAACUUCACUGGUUUAAUCCCAUCAUCUUUGUGCCAUUUACCAAAGCUAGAGUCUUUGAAUUUGGGAAACAACAAUCUGAGAGGGCAGAUUCCUGUCAAGAUUGGAAACCUUUCCACCUUGAAGAGUUUGCAUUUGGGAACCAACCAGCUUUCAGGUUCCAUUUUCCCCCUGCAAUUUAUAUUUGAAGAUAUAUUUCUGCAAUUUUUGCUUACCAACAAUUGUUUUAUAAUUACAUAAAACUAGUUGUUAUAUCAAUUAUAUUUUUCAGGUCAAAUCCCUGGAACAAUUGGUGACCUUCUGAACUUAGAGAGGCUUCGCUUUUCAGAAAACAACUUAACAGGGCCUGUGCCUUCAAGCAUUGGGAACUUGACAUUUCUGAGUUACAUUGAUUUUUCCUCUAAUAGCUUGUCAGGUAGAGUAUCACACACUCUCUCUCUAUGUAUCUUAUUUUAUGCAAAUUUUCAAUUAACAACAAUGAUAUCAUUUCAUUAUAUUAAUUAGUGCCUAUACUAAUUUAUAUACAAAUUAUGGCAGGUGCACUUCCAUUUCAGAUUGGAAACUUACAGAAUCUUGAAAUCUUAUCCUUGGGAAAUAAUAGUUUCUCUGGUUCCAUCCCUCCUCCAAUCUUUAACAUAUCGACAGCAUUGAUGAUUUGGCUUGGUUUCAAUCAACUCUCAGGCCAGCUUCCAUCAACAGCAGGCCUUGGACUUCCAAAACUAGAAGGACUUUAUAUUGAGCUAAAUGAACUAAGUGGACCAAUCCCAACCUUUAUCUCCAACGCCUCUAAUCUUAUUUUUCUUCAACUAACGAAUAAUUCUUUUUCUGGAACUGUUCCGGAUACGUUUGGCAAUCUAAAAUAUUUGCAACGGUUGGACUUAGGGCAUAACAACUUAAGUAGCAAACCUUCUUCCCCUGUAUUGAGCUUUCUCUCAUCAUUGACAAGCUGUAAAAGCUUGGAAGUUUUGAUAUUUGAUGAUAACCCUUUGAUCACUGGUGAACUUCCAGUUUCUGUGGGGAAUUUAUCUGCUUCUCUAACUCUUUUCUAUGCUUCUCAUUGCAACAUUAAGGGCAGCAUCCCCGGUGAAAUCGGAAACUUAAGCAAAUUGUUUUGGUUAGGCCUUGACCACAAUGACUUCACUGGAACAAUACCUGCAACACUUGGAAGCUUGAGAGAGUUGCAAGAUGUUGAUCUUGGGAGUAACAAGCUUGAAGGAAGCAUUCCGUCCGAGUUAUGUCAUCUUGAAAGGUUGGCUUACUUAACUCUCACUGACAACAAACUAUUUGGACCAAUACCAGAAUGCUUAGGUGAUAUGGUUUCUCUUAGGAAUCUUUUCUUAGGCUCCAAUAAUUUUACCUCAAUCCCAUCAACCUUGACAAGACUCGACGGCAUCUUGUUCCUAGAGUUAUCUUCGAAUUCACUGAAUGGAUCACUCCCAACUGAUAUCGGGAACUGGAAGUCUGUGACCAAUUAGAAUUUGUCAGAUAAUCAGUUCUCAGGUGCUAUCUCAAGCAGCAUUGCUGAUCUCAUGCAUCUAACUCAUCUCUCGUUAUCUGGUAAUAUGUUGCAGGGUUCUAUUCCUGCAUCAUUUGAUGAGUUGAUAAGUUUGGAAUACUUGGAUCAGUCUAGGAAUAACCUUUCAGGAAUGAUCCCCAAGUCCUUAGAGAAACUCCAAAAUCUCAAACAUUUCAAUGUCUCUUUCAAUAGACUACAAGGGGAAAUUCCUAGCAGAGGAUUAUUUGGAAACUACUCGAGCCAAUCAUUUAUAGGCAAUGAAGACUUGUGCGGUCCAUCUCGACUUCAAGUCCCACCUUGCAAAACUGAUCCCUCCAAGAGUGCCAAUCUUUUAAAAUAUAUUCUACCUGCAAUUGGCUCGGUCAUAUUAGUAUCGUUCGCGGUUUUCAUUCUUUUACGAAGUCGAAAUACGAAAACUGAACUACCAAUUCAAGAAAAUUUGCCACCGUUACCUGAAUGGAGAAGAAUUUCUUACCAUGACCUUGCUCAAGCUACUGAUGGAUUUUCUGAUAGCAAUCUACUUGGGGUAGGGAGUUUCGGGUCAGUAUACAAAGGAACUCUCUCAACUGGGAUGACCAUUGCAGUAAAAGUGUUCCAUGUAAAUCAAGAUAGAGCCUUUAAAAGCUUUGAUAUUGAAUGUGAGGUACUACGCAACAUUCGUCAUCGGAAUUUGGUUAAAAUCAUUAGUAGCUGCUCUAAUGUUGAAUUUAAAGCUUUGGUACUUGAGUUCAUGUCUAAUGGAAGCUUGGAGAAGUGGCUAUAUUCUGACAACCAUUUUCUGAAUGUUUUGCAAAGGUUGAAUAUAGUGAUAGACAUUGUAUUGGCAUUGGAAUAUCUCCACCAUGGUCAUACCCUACCAGUGGUUCAUUGUGAUAUAAAGCCAAACAAUAUCCUGCUAGAUACAGAUAUGAUAGCGCAUUUGGGUGAUUUUGGCAUUGCAAAACUCUUAGGCGAGGAAGAUGCAAUGAUACAAACAAAGACACUAGCAACUAUUGGAUACAUGUCACCAGGUAAUGUAUAUAGACUUGUGCUUGCCUUCAAAUUAUUCUUUAAAUUUAUAAUGGAUUUAAAUUAUUUUCUUAUACAGAAUAUGGAUCAGAAGGAAUUGUUUCUACAAAAGGUGAUGUGUAUAGUUUCGGGAUUCUUGUAAUGGAAACUUUCACAAGAAAAAAGCCGACAGAUGAUAUGUUUGGAGAAGAAAUGAGCUUGAAACGUUGGGUGAAAGAAUCAUUACCAUCUUCCGUAGUUGAUGUGGUAGACAGUAAGCUUCUAAAUACAAGAGAGAGAGAAGGGUUAGCAGCAAAGGAUUGUAUAUUAUCCAUUUUGCAAUUAGCUCUGGAAUGUUCAGCAGAGGUAGCAGAGGAAAGGAUUGAUAUGGAAGAAGUUGUUGCAAGGUUGAAGAAAAUCAAAACCAUGUACUUGCGUGGAACUGAGCAAGUUUAAUUUUUAGUUUUGAUCCUAAAUUUUUCAAAUUUUAUACCUUCCUUCACACCAAAAUUCUUUUUCGAGUUUGACUAUGCAUUAGAUGAGUAGAAUUGAAUAGAAUUCUGCGUUUACACAGAACUUGAGCUUUGACCAUAAAUGGGAACUCCAUGCAAUACUUCAUAGCAUGCCAAUGUGGACCUUCUCUUGAAGUCUAUGCAAAUGUUGACUUUUUAAAAUUCUAUUAGAAAAUGAAAUUCUAUAAUCCACUUAUAUAGUUGCUUUAACCAAUAAUUCUUAAGCUAGUAUAUUACUUUUUAUUUUUAUUUUUAUUUUUUUUUUAAGGAAUAAUAUUUUACGCAUAAUUAGUAUAUAAAAUUAAAUAAAAAUAUAGAGAAUUUGUAAAUAAAUAUUAAUAAUUUUAUUUAAACAUAAUUUAUUUAAACAUAAUUACGUAUUGAUCAUAAUUAUUAUAAAUAAAUAUUAAUAACUCUUAUAUUUAGGAUCUUAGAUUUAAGAGUUUAAAGAAUUAGAUUUGGAGUCUCGAAUUUAAGAUCUAAGGUUUAGGGUUGUAGUAUUUAUUUAUAAUUAAUUAUUAAUUAAUUAAUUAUAUUUCAAUAAAGUUAUUAGUAUUUAUUUAUAAGUACUACACUAUUUUUUAUUUUAUUUAAUGAUGAGGUGUUCUAUACAUCGAUAAUGCAUCAAAUAUUUUCUCUCUUUUUCUUAAAUUUUUUUCAACGAUUUUAUAGUUGUAAAUACUAAUUAAAAGUGUCUAUAAAUGGAGUCCAGUAAAUGUAUGAUCCUUAAAAUAUUCAUGUUGUUUUUUAAAUUAAAAUUUAUAUUUUUUUGUAAAUAAAUUCAAAUAAAUAUUAUGCAAGACGAAUUAAAACAUAACAAUUCUCAUAUCACCCAAUCAAUAUUCUAAUAUAAAUCAAAACAACAAAUUCAAACUCGCAACUGUUAUCGCGCUGAGGCUUUAUUUGUUCCCUUCGAGUCUUUUGUUACUGGUCUUCGAGUCUCAUUAUAUCCUUAAUAACAUCCCUUUCAUCUCCCCUCACACUUAAUCCCAAUUUCUUCCCCACUUCCCAGGUCUGCUUUGCCUCCCUUAAAAUUAUCUUCCUCCUAUUGCUAAUGUCUGAAUCUGACAAUGAUAAAUUUACAAUUUUCUCUUCACUCUUAAUACCAUACUAAUAAACACGUGUGGAUGUCACGUCAAUAAUUAAUUAAUUUUUAAAAAUUAAAAAAACUAUUUUAAUAUAUAUAAAAAAAUUAUUUUAAAAUUAAAAAAUUAAUUGUUGGCGUGACAUUCACAUAGACCGCCACGUCAAAAAAAUUGACAAACAUUAAAAUUUUCAUCUAUUUUAGGGUUAUUUGACAAAUAAUACAAGUUUAAAAGUUAAAAAAAUGAAAAAUUAAAUGAAAAUAUAAAAUAAAUUUUUUUGUAAAAUUGGAGAGCUAAACAAGUUAUUAUAUCUAAAAAUUAUUAUUAAAAAGUGAAGUAAUUCAAUUAGUUAUUCAAUGCUUUUCAAUUAUAGUAUCUUAGAUUGAACAGUGUUAAGUUUGCCUUAAAAAUUAUUAUUAAAAAGUGAAGUCCAAAUACUUAAUUUUGAGUUCAAUUAGUUAUCUAGUGCUUUUUAAUUAUAAUAUUUUAGGUUAAGGCAGCUUCCAACAAUGUUAAGUUUGCUUUAAAAAUUAUUAUUAAAUUAUUCAGUGCUUUUCGAUUAUAAUAUCUUAGGUUGAGGUAGCUUUGAAUCGUGCUAAAAAGCAGUGUUUAUUAAUAUUUGAGAAAUGUGUCAUAUUUGUGUUUGACAAAUUUUGAAAAUAAUAUUAUCGGGAUUUGAUUCUUGAUGAUACUUUAGAUGACUGAAAGUUUAUCUAUGAUAAUCAAAUUAUUUGUAGCAACAUAUCCUGAACAUUAGUUUGAGUUGAGAUUAGAUCAAAUUGGGUAAAACUUAGAAGUAUAUAUCUUGAAGAUUCAAGACUUAUGUAUAGAUUGAUUAUAAUUGAUACAAUAUGUAAACAAGAUUGAUUAGUGCGAUAAAGCGUAUUAUUCUCUUAUGUAUAGAUUGAAGAUAAAUUAUAAGUAGUUUUAAGAGAUUAUAUCGUAUUGAUAAAAAAAAAAAAAAGAAAACCAAAAAACUACUGCUCAGAAUCUCCAUUGCAAAGCUUUAAUCAAAAUUACACCAACAUGCUAGCUGCUAAGGAACUCAUUAAAGAAACCAGUAUCAUUUCUAAUCGCACUAUCACCAUUAUCAAACACCAUGUCGCAAGUUUGAAUGAAAUCAUAAGAGAUAUCAACUCCAUCAUAACUGAAUCAAAUUGAUCAUGCUUCCAUCAUGAAAAGCUUUUUUAUUUAUUAGAUGUCCCAAUUCGAUGUUCUUGUAACACAGGUUAGAACAAGACAACAUAACAGGCUGUUUAAAAAGGAGUAAGGCAAAACACAUCACCCAAUUCAAAUAACAAUUCUAUCUUACAGAGUCUUAGUAAGUGUAAAACCCUCAAUUUGCCCGGGCCCAAAUAACCCCAAAAUUAAAACCCAACCUAAAUCAAGCCCAAACCCCCAGACCCAAUAAUCAAAAUAGGGUUUCAGACAAUCUGAAACCCUAGCCUAUCCUCUGCCCCCUAGCCUGCAGCUACCGCCAUUGUCACCUCACCACUUGCCACUAUUGACCUUUUGAACCUGCAAAAGAAAAUAAAAAGCAGAGACAACAGCCAAAGCAAGUGGAACAAUAGGAAUAGAGAGAAAAUCAAAUGUAAUACAUUUUUUUUCGACUAUAAAAGGCCAAGAUCUAUCAGUGUAAAAGGGGAUGGUAUUUUCGAAAGGGGAGGAACCGAUUGUAUCUUGGGAAAUGGGGGAAGUUUUUUAAAAAUUGUAACACAGAUUAAAGAAUCAAAAAAGCAAAAACAGAAGAGAGGUGGAUUUUCGAAUCUCGUUUUCUCCUUUUUUUCGUUUCGAUCAUUUUUUAUUUAUUUAUCUAUUUUUUUAUCGAUUUUAAAAAAGAAUAAAAAGAAGAAAGAGGGAACUUACCGGGGUUUCCGUGAAUGCCUCGCCGGAGAUCCUCCCUCCGCCGUCGAGUUCGAACCUGAGGAAGGUGGGGAGGUGUCUUCCUAUCUCGAUUUUUCAGACUUUGAAGGUUUGGCCUUCAAACGUGGCUCAAUCAAGGGCUGAAAAGCCUGUUUGUUGCUGUCACAACCACCGUCCACGGUGGAGGAAUGAAAGGCGAUGGCGGCGCAAAAGCUAGUGUUUCGAAACCCUAGCAGAGAAGAAAGGGGAGCCCUUUCUGUUUUUUUUGUUUGUUUGAAGCAGCAGAAUGAUCUUGAAACAAAAAAAAAUGGGGCUUUAUACAGGCACAAAACGGUGCCGUUUGGAGACCAACCUCACAGCGCCAAAACGGCGCCGUAUUGGCUGACCCGUUUUGACCCGACCCGAUUGCCCCUGGGAUACGCGUGUUUCUGUGGUGAGGGGCUAAUUACACACUUGGUCCUUCUCCUUUCGCUCUAGCUUUCAACUGGUUCCUGUUUGCGUGUUGUUUAUUUUCAAUUUUUUCCCAAAAUCUGUAUACUAUUGCAAUUUAGUCCGCAUCUCAACGUCAUGUUUUAGGACUUGGAUUAUUCCCUGUUUUAGUCCUUAUACAUUUGGGCGCAUUACAUAUGGGUCCUUUUUCAUUUAUUUUAUUUGUAGAUUAUCCCUUUUGUUUUAAUUUAAUUUUAAUUAAGUUUUUACUUCAUUUUUAUUUCAUAGUCAUUCUUUAUUCUUGAUUACUUAUUUGUAUAUAUUAAACUACCUUG
rnacentral:lncRNA from 1 species